rnacentral:rRNA from 1 species
UGGGGAAUAUUGGACAAUGGGGGAAACCCUGAUCCAGCGACGCCGCGUGAAUGAAGAAGGUCUUAGGAUUGUAAAGUUCUUUUGUUGGGAAAGAUAAUGACGGUACCCAACGAAUAAGCCCCGGCUAACUUCGUGCCAGCAGCCGCGGUAAUACGAAGGGGGCUAGCGUUGUUCGGAAUGACUGGGCGUAAAGGGCGCGUAGGUGGUUUUAUAUGUCUGAUGUGAAAGUCGAGGGCUUAACCUUCGGAUUGCAUUGGAAACGGUAAGACUUGAGUUCGAGAGGGGAGUAUGGAAUUGCGCGUGUAGAGGUGAAAUUCGUAGAUAUGCGCAAGAACACCAAAGGCGAAGGCAUUACUCUGGCUCGAUACUGACACUGAGGCGCGAAAGCGUGGGGAGCAAACAGG